AUUGAACGCUGGCGGCAGGCCUAACACAUGCAAGUCGAGCGGCAGCGGGAAAGUAGCUUGCUACUUUUGCCGGCGAGCGGCGGACGGGUGAGUAACGCCUGGGAAAUUGCCCAGUCGAGGGGGAUAACAGUUGGAAACGACUGCUAAUACCGCAUACGCCCUACGGGGGAAAGCAGGGGACCUUCGGGCCUUGCGCGAUUGGAUAUGCCCAGGUGGGAUUAGCUAGUUGGUGAGGUAAUGGCUCACCAAGGCGACGAUCCCUAGCUGGUCUGAGAGGAUGAUCAGCCACACUGGAACUGAGACACGGUCCAGACUCCUACGGGAGGCAGCAGUGGGGAAUAUUGCACAAUGGGGGAAACCCUGAUGCAGCCAUGCCGCGUGUGUGAAGAAGGCCUUCGGGUUGUAAAGCGCUUUCAGCGAGGAGGAAAGGUUGAUACCUAAUACGUAUCAACUGUGACGUUACUCGCAGAAGAAGCACCGGCUAACUCCGUGCCAGCCGCCGCCGUAAUAC
rnacentral:rRNA from 1 species